ACAGCCUCAUCUACAUUUUUCUGGAUCAAUUUGAACAUUCCAGAAUCAAUAACCUUCAAGUAAUCUUAGUAGAUGCAUAUAAAAAAAAUAUCCAAUUGAGAGAAGCAAAACCUGCACUAAAAUGUGUCUAAUUUAAUCAACUGGUUCACUAUGACAUGAGUUGUUCUUCUUUCUGAUAACAUAUACCUGUAUUUUGACUGUACUUAUUAUACACACGUUGGUUGCUG
rnacentral:misc_RNA from 1 species